rnacentral:lncRNA from 1 species
AGGGGAGGCAGAGGGGCAAGGUAUGCUCCCUACUCCCUUAGAGGUACGUCUGAGGACCGUGUCUUCACAAAGCUACUGUUGCUCUCGGACCUCUGGGGUGGAUUCAUUUUGCGGAGCACUCACAUUACUUCACCUGCUAGACCAAGCCACAUUUGGGGUGGGAGCAAGCUUGCUUUCCUGCAUAGCUGACCCGGAGAUAAGCCCCCAUUU